rnacentral:lncRNA from 1 species
GAAAUUCAAGAAACGCAAAAUAACAUAGAUGAUGAAAACUUGUCUAAUGGUGUGGACAAGAAUUCAGUGGGAGUUUUUGAUGAUCUAUUGGGAAGGGGAAUAUCUCUUAGAGAGACGCCUCAAGACAAUGAGAUGCAUCAAAGACACGAUGAUACAAUAGUUGUGUCACCACCACCUCAAGAAAAUCUUGAGGAUGUCCUUGAAAAUUCCGAAACUGUUGAAACGUUCAACAGAGAGGAACCUGCUCACAUUCAGAAUAUACAACCCGAACAAACGCAAGAACAACUCCAUAGGCCUCGUAGGAAUCGUCGAGCACCUGAAAGACUUAAUCUAUUGGUUGAGAACCAAGAUGAUGGAGUUGAUUCAGAUGAUGAUGAACC